UCUACUAGACAGCAUGCGAUUGUUGUACCGCAGGAAGAGAGACGAGAUGAUGUAGAUGAAUAAAGAAGACAAGCCAUCAACAGGAAGAUAAUCCAUACAUUGAGAGCCUUAGACCUGGGUUACAACUUGUGUUUAUUUUGAGGUAACAAUAUUAAAAGAUGGCCCCAACUCAGGUGAGGACUUUACUGUAUUUCUUAAUGAAUCAAAAUCAUUUCUUUCAGGAAUUCCUCCUAGUCAUAUGGAUAAAGCUAACAGAUUGUACUAACCCCCUCUUGCACACCUCCCCUCCCUUCAUGCCUGUAUGUUUUGUUGAAUAUUUAUGACUGUUUACUAAUCAUAUGUUGAUUUUUGUCGGGCAGCAGGCAGUUGAUGCCUAACAAGAUUGGAAGAUGGACAUGACUGAUAGAAAGAAGACAAACCAUCAAUAACAAAAUGAACUGUGCAUCUAGAGCCUUGUUGUAAUGAGACAACUAACCAGGUAAGCAUGCAGUUGCUACCCAACAGGAAGAGAGAAGAUGACUGGAAGAGUAGAGACAAGCCAUCACCAGGAAGGUUAAUCCCAGACAUCAAGAAUCUCAGACAAAGGAUGGGUACCUGUAUUUAUUUUGAGGUAACACAGUAAAAAAAAGUGGCCCUAAUUCAGGUGAGGACUUGACAGUUUUUUAUUGAAUCAACAUUAUUUCAAUCAGGAAUUCCUCCCAAUCAUAUGGAUAAAGCUAACUUGAUACUAACCCCCUCUUGCACACCCUCCCCUCCCCUCAUGCCUGUUAUGUUUUUGUUGAAUAUUUAUGACUGUUUACUAAUCAUAUGUUGAUUUUUGUCGGGCAGCAGGCAGUUGAUGCCUAACAAGAAAGAGGAAGAGAGAAAUGAUAGAAAGAAGACAAACCAUCAACAACAAAAUGAACUGUGCAUCUAGAGCCUUGUUGUAAUGAGACAACUAACCAGCAUGCAGUUGCUACCCAUCAGGAAGAGAGAAGAGACAAGCCAUCACCAGGAAGGUUAAUCCCAGACAUCAUGAAUCUCAGAGGAAGGAUGGGUACCUGUAUUUAUUUUGAGGUAACACAGUAAAAAAAUAAAGUGGCCCUAAUUCAGGUGAGGACUUGACAGUUUUUUAUUGAAUCAACAUUAUUUCUAUCAGGAAUUCCUCCCAGUCAUAUGGAUAAAGCUAACUUGAUACUAACCCCCUCUUGCACACCCUCCCCUCCCCUCAUGCCUGUUAUGUUUUGUUGAAUAUUUAUGACUGUUUACUAAUCAUAUGUUGAUUUAUGUCGGGCAGCAGGCAGUUGAUGGAUAACAAGAAAGAGGAAGAGGGAAAUGAUUGAUAGAAAGAAGACAAACCAUCAACAACAAAAUGAACUGUGCAUCUAGAGCCUUGUUGUAAUGAAACAACUAACCAGGACAGCAUGCAGUUGCUACCCAACAGGAAGAGAGAAGACGACUGGAAGAGAAGAGACAAGCCAUCACCAGGAAGGUUAAUCUCAUACAUCAAGAAUCUCAGACGAAGGAUGGGUACCUGUAUUUAUUUUGAGGUAACACAGUAA